AGCAGCCGCGGUAAUUCCAGCUCCAAUAGCGUAUAUUAAAGUUGCUGCAGUUAAAAAGCUCGUAGUUGAAUUUCGGGACUAAUAUGUCGGUCGUGCCUCGGUACGUACUGGUUUAUUGGUUUCUCCUUUCUGAAGAACCAUGAUGUCAUUUAUUUGGUGUCGUGGGGAAUCAGGACUGCUACUUUGAAAAAAUUAGAGUGUUUAAAGCAGGCUCACGCUUGAAUACAUUAGCAUGGAAUAAUGAAAUAGGACGUUUGAUUCUAUUUUGUUGGUUUCUAGGAUCGACGUAAUGAUUAAUAGGGAUAGUUGGGGGCAUUAGUAUUCAAUUGCCAGAGGUGAAAUUCUUGGAUUUAUUGAAGACUAACUACUGCGAAAGCAUUUGCCAAGGAUGUUUUCAUUAAUCAAGAACGAAAGUUAGGGGAUCGAAGACGAUCAGAUACCGUCGUAGUCUUAACCAUAAACUAUGCCGACUAGGGAUCGGAUGAUGUUAAUUUUUUAAUGACUCA
rnacentral:rRNA from 1 species